rnacentral:rRNA from 1 species
CCUACGGGAGGCAGCAGUGAGGAAUAUUGGUCAAUGGACGCAAGUCUGAACCAGCCAUGCCGCGUGCAGGAAGACGGCCCUAUGAGUUGUAAACUGCUUUUGUACGAGGGUAAACUCCGAUACGCGUAUCUUUCUGAAAGUAUCGUACGAAUAAGGAUCGGCUAACUCCGUGCCAGCAGCCGCGGUAAUACGGAGGAUUCAAGCGUUAUCCGGAUUUAUUGGGUUUAAAGGGUGCGUAGGCGGUCGGAUAAGUUAGCGGUGAAAUCCCGAGGCUCAACUUCGGAAUUGCCGCGGAUACUGGUCGGCUAGAGAGUAGUGACGGUAGGCGGAAUGUAUGGUGUAGCGGUGAAAUGCUUAGAGAUCAUACAGAACACCGAUUGCGAAGGCAGCUUACGAAGCUGCGUCUGACGUUGAGGCACGAAAGCGUGGGGAGCAAACAGGAUUAGAUACCCCGGUAGUC